GUGAAUAUUUGGCAAACGCGCUGAAAGGCGCGGGCGCAAAGCUCAGGAGCCUUCACAAAAGAGGCGAUGGCACGCCCACUUUUGCAUUGGCAGUCCGGCCGCAUCU
rnacentral:ncRNA from 2 species